AAAUCCGCUUUGGGCCCCUUGUGGGUUAGCCCAUGCGGGCCCACAGCGGGUUUGCCCUUGUGGGCCCCAUGAUGGUUUUCUGUGGGCAAGCCCACUGUGGGAAAACAAGAGAAAACAAGUAAGUAAAUUAAUAGAGUUUAAGUGUAAAUGGGGAACCCUUUUUAAGAAUAGAAUUAGAAUUGUGAGUGCUAAAGUUAGAGGGUCAAAUAAAGAUGGAAUAGAUGUGUUUUAAGCUGAUUCUUGAAGAUGACUAAGGACUGAGCUGCUCGGAUUGAGAGGUCAUUCAACCAGGAGGGAACAUUUAAUUUAAAAGUCUGUAAAAGUGACACGCAAGUUUCUAGAAGCACAUAAGUCUGAAGUAAUGCAUUUAGGUAAAGGGGUGCAGAGCCAGUGUUGGUUUUGUAUGCAAACAUCAAUACCUUGAAUUUAAUGUGAGCAGCAAUUUGUAGCCAGUGCAAAUUGAUAAACAUAUACACAACACACUCAUAUAUUAUGUAAAAAAAAGAAAAAAUGUUAAAUAAAUGUAUUUAUUUAUUUUGGAUACAAUUCAUGAUCAAUCGUUUAAUUAUUAAAUAUUUCUGAAAGGAAAAAAAGGAAAAAGUAAUAUUUAAUAAUAUAUCAAAUUUGCGUCAGCUCUUCAGCACGUGAUUAAUUCUAGCCAAUGAGAGCAGGAACUGCCGGAACUCUGCAUAGUUAAUGAGCUGUCAUUCCGACUUCAACUGAUACCGACCAGCUCCGCUCAACCAGGUAAGCUUUUUUAAUUUCUCGGUUAAUUUCUUAAUUUUUCUUUACAAUUUGUAAAAUUAGUCAAAAUAGUUGUGAAUUAAUUAUUUAAUAGGAAUUAAUUUACACAUUUUAAUUUGGAUUAACAAUGUUGCUAGUGCCUUUUUUAAAUGACCAACGGUUUUAACGGCAGACUUCCGAUCGUUUUCUGAGGUAACGUAAUCUCUGGUAAUAUAUCCUUUCAAAUUGCACAUGAAUUCAUUAAAUUAACAUUUAUUUACGACCAUUGCAGUGUUUAUUGGGUUUCAUUUCCUUUUCUGUAUUCUUGUUGUUCGACAGCGAGCAGUAACGUUAGGCCUAACGUACAUAACGUAGUGUAAUGGAGUUAGGUUAAGUCCAUAUAAUGUCUCUUAUAAAGUCCUUACUAGCAACAUAAACGAAGAUUAAUAUAGCAUAAUACAAUACAUCGGCUACACAUGCUUAUCAAAUCUCGUUAUCAUUAAUGUAUGGCUGUUCAUAACUGAUAGUUUUCUCUUGACUGUAUAGUUAAUUUGUAUGUACAUUCAUUCAUACAAACCUAUGUAAUAUUUAAGUGAUAAUAUCUUUUUUCUCCCUUAUCCUUUCUCAGACAUUAAACCAUACACCAUAUUCUAGUCCUGAUCGCAGAGUUAAGGUCAUGUCUCAAUCCUGUACUGAUGAAGCAGCUGAGGUCUUCAGGGUUAUCACACACUUCAGACAGGUGUGUGGACACACUGGAGAUAAACUCUGCAGGAUCCUCCAGGACAUCAUUGUUUUUGUGUCAGAUGCAGAUAAAGAGUCACUAGGAACAGGUCACUGCAUCUUUUGUAAUGUAGAUGCUGGGAUAAAAAGCAGCCAGGCUACAGCAUCUAAAAUGGAGACUUCUAUUAAAGUGGCUCUGUAACAUAAGAGACUUGGGACAGUGGAAGGAGCAGAAGAUCAGAGAUCAGGCAGAGCUCUACUGAUGCCCCUUAGAGGAUUGAUUUAUCUAUAAUUAUCUAUAAUAUCUACUUAAUUUUCUAAUGAAGUUAUAAUUGGUCAUUAUUCUGUUUUAGAAAUCUAUUCAAUAUUUUCUAGUGUUCAAUAGUUUGGGGUCAGAAAGUUUUUUCUUUCUUUAAGAUAUUACUUGUUUUCAGCAAGGGUGCAUUAAACUGAUAAAAAGCAACCGUAAAAACGUUUACAUUGUUGGACAAAAAUCCUAUUAAAAAAAUAAAAUAAAUGCUGCUCUUUUAAAACCUCUAAAGUAACCUGAAAAAAAAUAUAUAUUACUGUUUCCAGAAAUGAAGCAGCACAACUGUUUUUGAGAUGCUAAAAAAAAAAAGUUUAUUGAGCACCAAAAUCAGAAUAUUUUAAUAAUUUAUUUUGUAUUGUAUGACACAGAAGACGAGUAAUGGCUGGUGAAAAUUAAACAUCAUAGUAAAACAGAACUCAUUUCUCUAAAAAAAAAAUAUUUCAUAAUGUUACUGCUUUAACUGUAUUUCUUAUCAAAUAAAUGUUUUGGUGAGCAUAAGAGACUUGUUUCAAAAACAUUUAAAAAUCUUACCUAUCCUUAACUUUGAACAGUGUUUUUCUUCAUCUAUUACAUGGCCGUGAAUAAAUCAAAGUAUUUGAAAUGUAUGACUCUUUAAUUUAUUACUUCGACUUCUACUAAUAAUUAUUAUUCAUGUGAUUUAAUAGUAAUAUUGCAGCAUUCUGCAGGUACAAAGUUUUAUUUGUUUAGGUCACAAAGGCCCUACACAGGUUUAUGUCCACAUUUCCCUCCAAAGUGUGGGCAUACUGUGAGGACUGCUGGGGCCCUAGGUCCACAUUUUCAGC